UGCCUAGUACGGCGAGUGAAGCGGCAACAGCUCAAAUUUGAAAGCUAGCCUUCGGGUUCGCAUUGUAAUUUGUAGAGGAUGAUUUGGGGAAGCCGCCUGUCUAAGUUCCUUGGAACAGGACGUCAUAGAGGGUGAGAAUCCCGUAUGUGACAGGAAAUGGCACCCUAUGUAAAUCUCCUUCGACGAGUCGAGUUGUUUGGGAAUGCAGCUCUAAAUGGGAGGUAAAUUUCUUCUAAAGCUAAAUAUUGGCGAGAGACCGAUAGCGCACAAGUAGAGUGAUCGAAAGAUGAAAAGCACUUUGGAAAGAGAGUUAAAAAGCACGUGAAAUUGUUGAAAGGGAAGCGCUUGCAAUCAGACUUGUUUAAACUGUUCGGCCGGUCUUCUGACCGGUUUACUCAGUUUGGACAGGCCAGCAUCAGUUUCGGCGGCCGGAUAAAGGCUCUGGGAAUGUGGCCUCCACUUCGGUGGAGGUGUUAUAGCCCAGGGUGUAAUACGGCCAGCCGGGACUGAGGUCCGCGCUUCGGCUAGGAUGCUGGCGUAAUGGUUGUAAGCGACCCGUCUUAA
rnacentral:rRNA from 1 species